AAUACAGGUAAACACGACCUUGACUAUAUGUACCUGUAAUUAUAAUACAGGUAUACACGACCUUGACUAUAUGUACCUGUAAUUAUAAUACAGGUAUACACGACCUUGACUACAUGUACCUGUAAUUAUAAUACAGGUAUACACGACCUUGACUACAUGUACCUGUAAUUAUAAUACAGGUUGCACGACCUUGACUAUAUGUACCUGUAAUUAUAAUACAGGUAUACACGACCUUGACUAUAUGUACCUGUAAUUAUAAUACAGGUAUACACGACCUUGACUAUAUGUACCUGUAAUUAUAAUAGAGGUAUACACGACCUUGACUAUAUGUACCUAGAUUAUAAUACAGGUAUAAACGACCUUGACUAUAUGUACCUGGAUUUAUAAUACAGGUACAUAUAUACAGGGCCUUGAUUAUGUUUACCCCAAAUAAUGUCUUUUCAAGAUUCGCAGUUAAAAGGAAAUCGUUACAAUAACAAAGCUAGCGUUAAAAGUCUAUUAUAUAUGUAUCUGUACUUUUAAGGGACAUAUGCUCUGGAUUUGAUAGAUUUAGCUC